rnacentral:tRNA from 1 species
GCCCACGUAGCUCAGCAGGAUAGAGCGGCCGCCUCCUAAGCGGCAGGCCAGAGGUUCGAAUCCUCCCGUGGGUGCCA